AGAGUUUGAUCAUGGCUCAGCAUGAACGCUGGCGGCGUGCCUAACACAUGCAAGUCGAGCGAUUCUCUUCGGAGAAGAGCGGCGGACGGGUGAGUAACGCGUGGGUAACCUGCCCUGUACACACGGAUAACAUACCGAAAGGUAUGCUAAUACGGGAUAACAUAAGAAAUUCGCAUGUUUUUCUUAUCAAAGCUCCGGCGGUACAGGAUGGACCCGCGUCUGAUUAGCUAGUUGGUGAGGUACCGGCUCACCAAGGCGACGAUCAGUAGCCGACCUGAGAGGGUGAUCGGCCACAUUGGAACUGAGACACGGUCCAAACUCCUACGGGGGGCAGCAG
rnacentral:rRNA from 1 species